AAGAGACGAUACCCUACCGAUAAAAUUAAUAACCCAAACACACACAGUUUGUUUGUCUUUAUGUUUGUACAAUCUAUGCCACAUGGUUCAGCUAAUGCCAGGUCAUGAGAACACCAAGUCCGGUUCUUGAUAAGUGAUGUAAUUGCUAUAUGAGACCUCACGCCAAUAGCUACAUCCACUAUAUCAUUAAAAAGAGACCCGUUUUUCGUGUUUCCCUCAAAUCUCAACUCAUGUAUCAGUAGGAAAAAAUGUAUCACUUGGAAUGCACGUUCGCAUUGGGAGUUUUGUAUCUUUACCUACUUUAAUCUUUAUGAUUGGUCAAAUAGAAGAAAUUAAUAGUCCAAUUGCUGAAAAUAAUGGGAUGUAGUUCCUUCCAUACUCAAGAUGUAGGACUUGGAGGCACCAGGAAGUUAGAUCAUGCUUCUGCUGCUGAGGAGGACGAGAUGGAGCAGGAGGAUAACCCAAUAGUUCUGCUGCUUAGGAACAAUCUAACAGGAUGACGAUGAAGGAUUCGGUGUCUACGGGAUUGCUUAGCCUCCGGUCGGGAGAAAUACCUGCCCGGUUUGCCAGUGUUGGCAGCGGCGGCAUCUGCGGAUGUCGCUCCCUUCUUGGAGGCAUUGUCAAAGCCCUCGGCUGAUCCCCACCUUGAGCCCAGGGGAAACCCUAGGCCCACCGGACGGGAUGGCCAUGGCGUCUCGAUGUGGUCUUCCUUUUUGUAGGCGUUAUCUUGCUUCCUCGCGGUGUCCCUGAUUUUGGCUCUUGCGAUGUUGGUACCCUCACUGGUUCGGUGUUGCCGCUCUUGGUUUAGGCUUCGUAGGUCUAGCUGUGUUGCAUCCCUUUAUCGGGCCAGUAUCCCUUGUUUCCCUGCUCCAGGCACCAUGUUCACGCCUGCCUGUGUUCGUAUCAUGUGAUGUAUGCAAACCGUACUCAUUUUAUUCCUUCUAUCAAUGAAAUGAUACGCAAGCUUUGAUCGUAUCAUGCGACUGAUUGAUGAAUCACCAACCUAUCUAAUCUAACGACUAUCUAGUACCUUGCGAGAGUGGUAGUACCUGUUGGUAGUGGUGGUGAUCCAUGGCGUCAGUCAAACCGUCCAACUUUUGGCCGGUCGACGCACAACCGUACGAUUGACACCAGCACGCAUCGUUGGAUCACGUCUCUCCUCUGCCGGACAACUGUUGCCCCGAUUUAUUUUCCGGCCGCAUGCCCAAAUACACAACAUGCUUGCCCGUCUCUACGGCCCGCGACCAUCUUCUAUGGCCACCGUCCUCCCCUUCCCAUUGCACAUAGUCACGGCUCACCAUCGCUGUUUGCCAUAAUGUCGCUUGUUUAAGCAUCUCUUCCACGGGUCAUAACAAACUUGUUCACUGGUCGCAUAGAUUCCAAAAGGAAAACCCAAAAAGGCGUUAACUUAAUUUUGAAUGGUGUUUUUCUAAUGGAUGAUCGAACUAGAGUUAACAAAAGGCGUCAACUUACAACGGAAUGUGUCCCGUACAUUUGUUAGGAUGAUAUCUAUCAACCCUCAUACUAAAAGCACCCACACAGUUCAUUCAUCUACGAUUAGUGCUCUCUUGAAUUGGAUAUUUAAUGAAUUUGAUCUUACAACAGCCCUAACGUAGUCUUGUUCGCAUUGAACAAUAUUAUAAAGAGACAGUACAGUACGGAUCAAAUUAAUAAUUCAAACACACACAAUGUGUUUAUCUUUAUGUUUGUACAAUCUAUGCCACAUGGGUUCAGCUACUGCCAGAUCAUGAGAACACCAAGUCUGGUUAUUGAUAAGUGAUGUAAUUGCUAUCUGAGACCUCAUGCCAAUAGGUACAUCCACUAUCAUUAAAAGGAGACCCGUUUUUCGUGUUUCCCUCAAAGCUCCACUCCUGUAUCAUUAGGAAUGCACUCUCGCAUUCUGAAGCACACCGGGAGUUUCCUAUCUUUACCCAUUUUUAUUUUUAUGAUCGGCCAAAUAGAAGAAAUUAAUAGUCCAAUUGCUAAAAAUAAUGGGAUGUAGUUUCUUCCAUAUACUCAAGAUGUAGGGGUCGAAGGCACCAGGAAGUUAUAUCAUGCGACCACGAUCCGUGGAAGAAUACUCGUCUGGAUGUGGUGGAUUUGUAGUGAACCUGAGCUGAGUAGAGUCUCUCGUGGAUGAGGGCCACAUAUGCUCCUGGGGCAAAGAAAGCGCAUUACAGACCCUGAAGAUGCUACCAAACUCCCGUUGCCAAAAGCAAUCAAGCAACCACAUGUAAUGCACUAACGUAUGAGUGAUUGGACGGACUGUGUGACCCAUCUACUGGGUGUUCAUUGGCCUCAUUGUGUUCUUCAGGGGAUUAUUUCGGUUUUCAGAAUAAUUAGUCGAUUCAUUGGACAGGGUCUAGAGUCUUAGAAUGACAGAGACCGAAUGUUUAACUGUCUCAACUUUGUUCAGCAAUCUAAAAAUGAUUUUUCAUGGAAGGCCAUUGACCUGGACUGUGACUAGUGUGAGAGUUUCUACGAUAAUUGAUGAAGCUAUUUCAUCCUCAGGGUCACCCCUUAUUUUUAGUUUACGUAACAGUUCAAUUUAGAAAAUGCCAAGCACACAUGUAGUCCAUUCCUGCCAAAUUUCUUUAUAUAACUCUUUAAUUUACCCAUCUUAGUGCCCAAGGGGGAAUGACAUCAUUAACUCGAAAAAUAGACAAAUUUGAAGUCAAAAAACAUAUAAGCCACUUACCGGCAAAUUACAAGGAAAGCACAUUAAUCUGGAAUGUGGCGUAUGUGAGUACAUUACUAGGUAUAUAUGGAAAAAUAAGUUGAUAAUAACAUGUCCUUUAUUUUGGUGCUGCUUUCCAUAUGCUGCUGCCUUUAUUCUCCUACAAU
rnacentral:lncRNA from 1 species